GGGCCGAUAGCUCAGCUGGGAGAGCGCUGCGUUCGCAAUGCAGAGGUCGGGAGUUCGAUCCUCCUUCGGUCCA
rfam:Cupriavidus basilensis strain 4G11 chromosome main, complete sequence.